GCGUAGCGAGAGAACGUUGCCGAAGGCAACGGUCCGAAGGGCGAGGCGCUUUAGCGCCGAGUAAUCCUUCCCCCACCGCUG
rnacentral:sRNA from 1 species